rnacentral:rRNA from 1 species
AUUGAACGCUGGCGGCAGGCCUAACACAUGCAAGUCGAACGAGUGGCGGACGGGUGAGUAAUGUCUGGGAAACUGCCCGAUGGAGGGGGAUAACUACUGGAAACGGUAGCUAAUACCGCAUACCAUCGGAUGUGCCCAGAUGGGAUUAGCUAGUAGGUGGGGUAACGGCUCACCUAGGCCACGAUCCCUAGCUGGUCUGAGAGGAUGACCAGCCACACUGGAACUGAGACACGGUCCAGACGCCGACGUGAGGCAGCAGGGGGGAAUGUUGUAUAAUGGGCGGAAGCCUGAGGCAGCCAAGCCGCGUGUAUGAAGAAGGCCUUCGGGUUGUAAAGUACUUUCAGCGGGGAGGCGUUACCAGAAGAAGAAGCACCGGCUAACUCCGUGCCAGCAGCCGCGGUAAUAC